rnacentral:rRNA from 1 species
UACGAAGGGGGCUAGCGUUGCUCGGAAUCACUGGGCGUAAAGCGCACGUAGGCGGAUUGUUAAGUCAGGGGUGAAAUCCUGGAGCUCAACUCCAGAACUGCCUUUGAUACUGGCGAUCUCGAGUCCGGGAGAGGUGAGUGGAACUGCGAGUGUAGAGGUGAAAUUCGUAGAUAUCCGCAAGAACACCAGUGGCGAAGGCGGCUCACUGGCCCGGUACUGACGCUGAGGCGCGAAAGCGUGGGGAGCAAACAGG